CACUCACACCUUGGUAAUUCAUCCAUCUUGGUGGCGUGUUCCCUUGAUGUGCCACAAAUCCUGUAAUAUGUUUAACACUAACCCAAUCACCCGCAGGAGGCUUCAUUGCGUUGCCAUGCUCGCCGGAAAAUGCUGUGCCAUUGAAGUCACUAACACUCUGCUCUGGUGAAGAAGUAUCACAGCUAGGGUUAAAAGUAGGGUUAUUGCACGUGAAGAAAACGUUCAUGAGAGUCAGAGGAAGGAUCAUCUUCAAGAAGGUAUUGCUGAACUGAAUCUAAAGGAGAAAGAUUAGGGGUCAUAUUUUGAGGCAAAGGGCAAGAAGAGGCUUUUACUUUUUCAUUCUUCCUACCUUGCCCGUAGCUUUUUUUCCCAAAUUUCGAUGUUUAUCAUUGAAUUGAAGCAUUAGGUAGAAGCAAACUGAAGUUUUUGUUUUUCCAUUCAAAUUUUCUUCUGCCUCCUCUUCCACGAAGCUCAGUUUCUCUUCAAUUCAAUUUGUAUCCAAAGACAGUGCCUUUUGUCUUUGCCUCAUACGGUGUUCGUAUUUCAAAAUGUUGACGGCUGGUGACCCAAACUUGGGUUGGUAGGAAACCUCUCAGACGCAUUGGGGCCAUGUCUGACACUCUUUCUAUUGCCUCCGAUCUCGGUUUCUCCCCCUUUCUAGGAAGAACUUCUUACCUCAUCCUAUACUAGUGGUGAAAAGGGUCAAGACUCAAUCAGGGUUCUGAGAGAACUAAUUAUUGUACAAAGAGAAAUAGCUGAUUUGUAAGUGUAACUUCAAUGUCGCAAGGAUUGCAUUAUAGUCGCCUACAGCAACCUUAUUAUCUGGUUAGUGAAUAUGCAGUUUUAUUGAUUCUUGGUUGAGACUUGAAAUCUAGUGUUUAGUUUCUACUCAUUAUAUCUAUUUUUUUCAUUAUUCAUUAUAUUUCUAUUCGGUGGUGCCUCUUCAUUUAAUUUUAUCCUCGUCUGCAUGUGACACAAACCUUUUGCUAUUUUUUCAAUAUUCUUAAUUAUUACCCUUAAUUCUUAAUUUUCUUAAAACUUAUAGAAUGCCAACCUUAUAUUAUAUUCCCACUCUAUUUGACUUCUUCUUUAUUCAUGAUUAUUUACGCUUGUAGCUUUUUUUAAAACAAAUAAAUAAAUCUAUUUUCAUAGUUUUUUAUCUACAGUUUAUUUUAUUUUCUUAUCAUUAGAUGAUUUACGUGUACCUAUCUCAAUAUAUCUAUAAUUAUUAGAAAAUAUCCCCCAAAAAAGAGAGAGAUAUCCAACUAAAAUGGCUUAUGGUAGAAUAGUGAUAAUAGAAAUAUACUUGAGUGCACUCUCUAAUAUCCAAAAAAGAAGGGAGAAAAUGUAAGUAUUUUUAAUGUCUUGUGAUUACACACACAAUUUUCAUAAAUUGAUUUUUACAAACUUUUAUUCUUAAUUUAAAACGGUGACAAUAGAUUAAGUUAGUAUAAGAAACAAAUUAAUAGAUAGAGACUAGACCUAAAAGACACGAGAUGCAAAGACAUGUCUGAGAGCUUCUUGUUAGUCUCAACAAAGCUUAAUUACUUCCAUGUUUAAUUAAAUUUGGAGGGAGCCCAGAAAUUGAUUUGAGCCUGUUGCACUCAUCAAGUCUAAAUAUUUGAGAUUUAUUAAAUCAUUUAUGGGUUAAGGUAUCUCGGUGAUCUGAAUGCUUUUCACAUGCAAUAAUGAUACACUUGUCAUAUUUCUGCCAAAACCCCAAGAAUUAAAGCAUCCACAAAAGAAUAAACUAACUCUUCUAGACCAUUUGUUUCCAAGUAAUUAACUUGGAAGAGUUACAAGAUUUAUACAAUAUUCAGAGCUGCAACAAGUAAAAGGACCAACUCUUCAAGAUUCGGAGUUGCAGUGAAAUCUGGAGUGAGUUUCAAUUUGUCAUUCGGAAUCAUCAAUGAUCCUCAGCUUAUCUAAAGACUGAUCAACAUACAAGACACAAAACAAGAAGGCAAUAUUAGUGUUUCCAAAGUCUAGUAAUUAAUAAGAAUAUUAAGUAAGUGUAUAUAUUACCUGACAUAAUUUAUCUGCAUUAUUUCUACAAAAUAAGAGGAAGUUAUAUAUGAAUAACAUCACCUACUUCUUCUUCUUUGUGGGGUGAGAUCAACAUUUCCUGUACUAGUUGCAUUGCCUCCUUAAAACGUUCGUGUUUUUGAUGUUAAGGUUUGGAGUGAUUCGAUGAAUAAGCCUUCUCCUAAUCAUGGUCUGAUACUAGAGCUCGCACACUUUCUUGUUGACCAGAAACAUCAGAAACAUCAAUGACAUCCAAUAUUGACGCAUCAUGGUCAAUAUGAUUUAUUUGUUCAUUGUUUGGAUUAAUGUAGCUAUCAAUCAUUUGGGGAGGGUUAAACAUAGAAGGCCCUGGAUCUAGAUCCAAUAGACUAGCAAUCAUUUUCUCUAUAGCUCGCCAAUUGUUAGGUGAAUCAGGAUCUUUAGAAUCAUCAGAAGCCAAUAUGGUAUUAGGAUUAGGAUAAUAAGGGUUAAAAGAGACGCAUCCAUUAUCCGACCA